GCAAGCUUAAGCCGUUAGGUGUAGGCGCAGCGAAAGCGAGUCUGAAUAGGGCGAAUAAGUACGUCGCAUGACGACCCGAAACCAGGUGAUCUAUCCAUGAGCAGGUUGAAGGUAAGGUAACACUUACUGGAGGACCGAACCGGUGAAUGUUGAAAAAUUCUCGGAUGACUUGUGGAUAGGGGUGAAAGGCCAAUCAAACCUGGACAUAGCUGGUUCUCCGCGAAAACUAUUUAGGUAGUGCCUCAGACGGACUCCUCGGGGGGUAGAGCACUGAAUGGAUGCGGGCGGAGCGAUCUGUACCAAUUCUAAUCAAACUCCGAAUACCCGAGAGAGAUAUCUGGGAGACACACGGCGGGUGCUAACGUCCGUCGUGAAAAGGGAAACAACCCUAACCAUCAUCUAAGGCCCCCAAGUUCUGGCUAAGUGGGAAACGAUGUGGGUUUGCUUUGACAACCAGGAUGUUGGCUUAGAAGCAGCCAUCAUUUAAAGAAAGCGUAACAGCUCACUGGUCAAGCGAACCUGCGCGGAAAAUGUAACGGGGCUCAAGCCAGACGCCGAAGGUAUGGGUUUGCUCUUUGAGCAAGCGGUAGCGGAGCGUUCCGUAAGCCGGUGAAGGUGAGGCGCGAGCCUUGCUGGAGGUAUCGGAAGUGAGAAUGCUGACAUGAGUAGCGAUAAAGAGUGUGAGAGACACUCUCGCCGAAAGCCCAAGGGUUCCUGCGUAAAGCUAAUCUGCGCAGGGUUAGUCGGCCCCUAAGGCGAGGCCGAAAGGCGUAGUCGAUGGGAAUCAGGUGAAUAUUCCUGAACCAGUUGGAAGUGACGGAUCUGGUAAAUUGUUCGGGCUUAUUGGAUUGCUCCGGGCAGUGAACAGGUCCCUGGAAAUAACUCCAACGGAGACCGUACCCGAAACCGACACAGGUGGGCAGGUAGAGUAUACCAAGGCGCUUGAGAGAAGUGUCCUGAAGGAACUCGGCAAAUUGCACGCGUAACUUCGGGAUAAGCGUGACUCUUCUUUGGGCAACCAGAAAAGAGUGGCACAGGCCAGGGGGUAGCGACUGUUUAUCAAAAACACAGGGCUCUGCGAAGCCGCAAGGCGACGUAUAGGGUCUGACGCCUGCCCGGUGCCGGAAGGUUAAAAGGAGUGGUGCAAGCUGCGAAUUGAAGCCCCGGUAAACGGCGGCCGUAACUAUAACGGUCCUAAGGUAGCGAAAUUCCUUGUCGGGUAAGUUCCGACCUGCACGAAUGGCGUAACGACUUCCCCAC
rnacentral:rRNA from 1 species